AGCGAACGCUGGCGGCAGGCCUAACACAUGCAAGUCGAACGAAGUCUUCGGACUUAGUGGCGGACGGGUGAGUAACACGUGGGAACGUGCCUUUAGGUUCGGAAUAACUCAGGGAAACUUGUGCUAAUACCGAAUGUGCCCUUCGGGGGAAAGAUUUAUCGCCUUUAGAGCGGCCCGCGUCUGAUUAGCUAGUUGGUGAGGUAAAGGCUCACCAAGGCGACGAUCAGUAGCUGGUCUGAGAGGAUGAUCAGCCACAUUGGGACUGAGACACGGCCCAGACUCCUACGGGAGGCAGCAGUGGGGAAUAUUGCACAAUGGGCGAAAGCCUGAUGGAGCAACGCCGCGUGCAGGAUGAAGGCCCUUGGGUCGUAAACUGCUUUUAUGUGAGAAGAAUAUGACGGUAACACAUGAAUAAGGGUCGGCUAACUACGUGCCAGCAGCCGCGGUAAAAC
rnacentral:rRNA from 1 species